rnacentral:rRNA from 1 species
AUACGGAGGGUGCAAGCGUUAUCCGGAUUCAUUGGGUUUAAAGGGUCCGCAGGCGGGAAAAUAAGUCAGUGGUGAAAGCCUACAGCUCAACUGUAGAACUGCCAUUGAUACUGUUUUUCUUGAGUAUAGAUGAAGUGGGCGGAAUAUAUCAUGUAGCGGUGAAAUGCAUAGAUAUGAUAUAGAACACCGAUUGCGAAGGCAGCUCACUAAACUAUUACUGACGCUCAGGGACGAAAGCGUGGGGAGCGAACAGGAUUAGAAACCCCAGUAGUCC